rnacentral:rRNA from 1 species
AUGGGCGCGGACAAGGAGGAGUACCAGUCCCCCGCGCGGAAGCGCGAGCGCGAGGAGGGGGAGGAGCCCGCGGCCGCCGACGAGAAGUGCCCGCGCACGGCGGACGAGUCGGAGGGCGCCUCGCUGCUGGGGCUCGCCAACUAUGCAGAUGAGGAGGAGCGCGGGGCCCCGAGGGGGCACGCGAACGGCCGACCCCGGGAGGAGGAGGAGGAAGACGAUGAGGAGGAGGAGGAGGAGGACGAGAGGAGGGCUCCGGAGAGAUGGCCCAGGCAGGUCGAGCUGCGCCGGGACUGCCCCAACCCCGACAGGUAUACUGUCUUUAGUUGCAACUAG